rnacentral:rRNA from 1 species
UACGAAGGGGGCAAGCGUUGUUCGGAAUUACUGGGCGUAAAGGGCGCGUAGGCGGUGCACUAAGUCAGGCGUGAAAGCCCUGGGCUCAACCCGGGAAUUGCGCUUGAUACUGGUGCGCUUGAAUCCAGGAGAGGUUGGUGGAAUUCCCAGUGUAGAGGUGAAAUUCGUAGAGAUUGGGAAGAACACCGGUGGCGAAGGCAAUCCCCUGGGCCUGCACUGACGCUCAUGCACGAAAGCGUGGGGAGCAAACAGG